CCAUAGCAAAUGACCAGCAAUCAGUUGUCUGAUUUCUCCUUAUGUUUUUUCAGUGGACUCUAAGGAUCUAUAUGUGACCAACAUGCUAUAUGAAAUGGAGCAAACUGAGAUACAAUUCACUACAGAGGAAGUGACUGAAUUAGUACAGAAGCUCUGCUUAGCUCAUAGUGUGAGACUGGAGACUGCAGACCUUUUCAUGACUCUUGUGUUUGAGCUUCGACAUCUUUCUCUUAAGGCCUUAAAAGUGCUAUGGCAAAGAUCUUCACUUAAAUGCAGAGAUAACUGGCAGCCCCUAAUAGAUGCUCUCCCCUCGUGUGCUACGGAAGCAUGUGUUCUCCUAAUGAAAGAAAUUAUAGCCUCUGGAGAAGCUGAGGAAGACAAAGUGGAGUCUUUCCUUUGGUCGUUUUCAUUCAUGCCUAAGCCCACCUCUGGCAUGAUCGAAUCUCUUGCUCCUUUGCUGCAGUCACCGGGAGCAAGCAAGAGCUCCUUCUUGGGAGUGACUGCUCUUGUACACAGGUUUUGUUCAGCUCACAAAUCCUGUGAUGAUGUGCCUGCUGUGCAGAGUGUCAUGAGGACUCUUGGUGAAUUUCUGGGAGGAAACUGCACUGUGCGAGACCCAGAAGGACUCAACCAGGUAUCAGCUGUAGAUCCAUUUUAAGUAGAGAACUUGGAAAGAAUUUGGCAGAAUGUCUGAAUACAGUAAAAUUUCAUGUACAGCUGACAAGGUGUGGUUAACUUGUGAUUCUGCCUUGCUUUGUAUUUACAGAUGCAGCUAGUGUUAAAAGCCAUUGGAAACGCGGGACUGGCAGCAGCUUCACUAGCUCCUGUUCUGAGUUUUUGUGCUUCCUUGAAAAGUAAUCCUAUUGAAAUUCGUCUAGCUGCUAUACAGGCCUUCAGGCGCAUUCCCUGUUCUGUCAGGGUAAGUGAUUUGUUGCCAGCAAGUGCCUGAUGGCUUCCUGCUGCUGUCCCAGAGUUUGGACUCUCUGGAGUAGUUAUGAAACAUGCAAACAAAUAAGAAUUAAGUGUAACU
rnacentral:lncRNA from 1 species